rnacentral:lncRNA from 1 species
CACUUAGUUAUGCAUUUAAGAGGUGUCGAUAUUAAUGAACCAAUAAAUGGGACAUGGACAGCAUGGACCCACAGUUGUAAUGAUUUCACCUAGAGCCGGCAAAACAGGUCAUCGGGUCGUGUUCGUGUCGUGUCAGCUUCGUGUCGUGUCAAAUUUAGGUCGACCCAAACCCGACUCAUUUAAUAAUCGUGUCAAAAUAUUGAGACCCAAACCCGACACGGAAAAAUAAUCGGGUUACCCAAUAACCUGUUUAAUAUCUAUAUAUUAAACAAAAGUUACAUCAAAUAUUUACACACUAUCAUACAUACAUAUGUACAUACAUCCAUACAUACAUACAUACAUAAUUUAUCGAUAUUAUAAAAUAUACAUAUCUACCAAUAUAUUACACAUGUACACUACUGAGGUUUUAAUUAUAUAUAUAUAUAUAUAAUAUUAUAUAUCAAUAUUAUAAAAUAUACAUGUCUAUCAAUUUUUACACAUUUACACUAUUGAAGCUCUAAAUGUAUGUAAAAUUUUAUAAAUAAAACAUUGUGUUUAUAUUCACCCUUUUAAAGAAUAAAAAAAAAAAAGAAAAUCAUCUCUAAUAUUUGAGUUUUAAUUAUAAGAAUAUGUAAAUUAUUUUAAAAUAGAAAAUAUAAUCGGGUCAUUGAUCGGGUAAAUGGGUCAAGAAUUUUAACCCAAACCCGACACGGAAAAAAAUCGUGUUGACCCGGACCCGACCCAUUUAAUAAUCGUGUUAAAUUUGACGACUCAUACCCAUUUAUUUAUGUCGUGUUCGUGUCGGGUAAUCGGGUCGUGUCAAAUUUUGCCAGCUCUAAUUUCACCAAUGUACCUCGCAAAAACUACGUGGCAUUAUAUUGUAGAACCAUAUGCUUUGUUGUUUAAUAAGCACUCGGGGUGACUUAAUUAUUUAUGGUAUACGCUACUGUGAAGAAAUUAUAAAAUACAUCUCUACGAUAAAUCAUUCGCAUUCACUGAAAAAACCAAAAUAUAUUACGACCAAAAUUACGGUUGAAAAAUUGAAAAAUUUUCUUAAACGAAAUAACACACAUAGAGAAAGACAAGGAUUAAAUUAGGAUCCUAAAGAUAUAACUUUGAAGCUUGUUAAUUAAGACAAUUAUCAGGCAAAUUUAUUGUCAUUAUGACAUAUAAUUUAUUUUUUUUGUCUUAACCACGAAGUAUCCUGGAGAGGGCCCCAACUGUAGGAGACACCUUUAAACCUGUACUACAAUCCAGACUAGAAGUCCCUGCUCGAACCGGGAGACACAUGUUCUCCCAACAAAGGCGACUUUCCUGCGACUCGAACUGGGGAGCAAACCUAGUCAAGUCACUUAAGGGGACUCCAUUGUCAGUGGAGCCAAAUAUAGAACUGGGGAGCAAACCCAAUCAACACCUUGAAAUUACAAAUAUCGCAAAUAUAGAAGAAAUCUCUAAACGGUAGUGGUUGAUUCUAUUUCUUUUCAACUCAUUUUCUAUAAAUAUUUGACCGUUGAAACUUAGAGCACAUUGAAUAAAUUAAAAAAGAGAAAAAAGAAGAAGAGAGUGUGAGUGCUACAUAUACUUUCUAUGUUUCCGAAUUUUAUGUAUA